GAAACCGAAACUAAUUUCAACGUGGGAUUGGGAACUGAAAGUUGUCUGUAUCUCAUUCUAAUAUAUAUUUUCUAUCCCCUUUUACUGCAUGUUUUGAUUUCGUCGAAGCCGGUUAUUUAUUUAUUUUUUUUAAUUUCAAAAUGCUGCAUUUUGUUUGUUCGCGUUUUCUUCAGCUUUAUUUUAUUACUGGCAAAGAUAUUCUGAAUAAAUAGUUGAACUGAUGGUCUUGAAAAGGAAACGAAUAGUAUAUCAAGCCUACUUACUACCUAUGAAAUGCUAGAAGAACAUCAAUCUUCAGAAUUUUUUAGUGAAUAUGGAAGUGGAAGAAGAGCGAUACUAAAUUGGUGGAAACUAUUCUGAAUAACGAAAUUUAUUCUUUAAUUAUGUAUCACAAGUUAUAUACUAUUCAGUUUUUGAAAUAUAAACCUUGAAUAGGCACUACGUUGCAUGGUAAAUUGUUCACUCAGAUAGCAAUCUGCGUGAACAAUUUCCCAUGCUGCUAAAUGCUUGUUCAGGGAUUAUUUUCUUUCAGUAUCAUAUCUUAUUUUUUUGAAAAAAACAUGUUUUGUUCUCUUGUAAAUACUUUGAAUUACUAUCAAUUUAUAUUCUUUUUCUCUGUCAUAUUCUGUAAUUAUCAUGUGUGUAAAAUCAUUUUGAAUGUAGUUGAAUAGGAAGAAUUUAAAUUC